UUAUAAAUCAUAUAAUAACCUCUAUACCCUGUGUAGAUUUCUCAGGAUGUUCUCCAUACAUCGCACUGAAACCGGCACACUUGCAAGAUUCGUUCAUCAUUAGUUCAGGACACAGUUUGGGGGCAAAUCUGGGCAGAGAUUACAUCUUCUGGCUCCCAUCCCAGAACACUUUGUACAAGCACCUUAACACAGAAGAUGCUGAGAGAGACAACAACAGAAUUUUUCUUGGAACUAUAACUGAAUCUUCCUGGAGGCACGUCCUCUGGCGCCAUCUGCAGGCCGCGCGCGGAACUCCGGCCGCGGUGGAAGAUCCUUUGCCCGCAGCGAGUAUCCGCUGUUCUAGAAGACUGGGCUGUUCCUAGUGGCUCUGUUCACCUGCCUGGGCGAUCCUGCCAGGGGACUGUCCGUACUGACCCCAUUCCCAAGAGCUGCCUGUAAGAAAGCCCUGGAGCGCAGAGGGAGGGACACAGAGGUACUGGUAAGGGCGGUGGGGAGCGCAACUGGAGGGGAGCGGGGCUGGAAAGGGCUGGAGUGUGCUGGGGUCGUGGAGACUGAUUGGAACAACAGUGGAGAAGCAAUGGGUAGUGGUUCAGGACACCUUGCCUGCCUGUUUGGGUCGUAAUCCUAGCCUUGCCGAUAGCUGUUUGUCUUCAGGCCAAUUGCUUGCUGUCUCUCUGUGGCCACAAUUUCUUUUUAAAUGGGGAUAACGGCAGCUGCCUCCUAUGGUUGUUAGAGGAUAAAACUAUUUAACGUUUGUAAAUGCUCAGAGUACUUUUUGGUCAAUGAAAUUAACAAUUGGACUUAAAGAUGGCCACUAGCAGCACUGACAGUACCUUUUGAGAAAUGCAAAUUACCGGGCCACACUCCAGCCUUACCGAGUCAGGAUCUCUAACAGAGGGAGCUCAGAAAUGUAUUUCGACAAGCUCACCAGAGGAUCCUGAUGCAUCAUAAACUUUGCGAAGCACUGGUCUGAGUGUCCGCGGGUUUUAAAGCUACCCAAGUGAUGUUUGGACACGAAUGGACGGUGAAUCACAAAUGGCCAGAUCCGUUUAAGUUACAAAUUGGUAAUCAAGACCCCCGUGAGGGGAGUGAACUUCCCUGUCUCCCUGCAAGAAGCUGUGAGGCUCUAAGGUUAAAACUACUCGCGGACACCGCCGCCCCCAACUAGUCCCGUGGUCUUGCGCAAACUAUCCCGUGAAAUGGGUGCAAAAGUCGCACCUAACUCAAGAGGUGACUGCAAAGGUCAAAUGAGACCCAAAUAAGUCUACUACCAAACACCACCCCACUGGGAAUAGGGGCUGAACUAAAGUGUACAUCCAUCUCCAGGCGCAGAGCGGGAAAUGCCUACAGGCCCCUGGGACCCCGCUGGGCGGAUUUCCCUCUAAGAGGGAUGAAACCGGGCUCUUCGGAACCGCGAGUCACAGGGGAGGGGACUGGGGGAGAGGGUUCGAUCUCUGGGCUUCUUGGUUUGGUCUGAGUGUGUGCAUUAGUCUCUCGGCGAGGUUCGCUCAUUUGCUGGGGGCGCCAAGUCCCGCUAGACCGGAAGCAGGAGCGCCG
ensembl:lncRNA